AUGAAACUCCAUUCCCUUAUUUCUGUUCUCCUCCUCUUUGUGACUUUAAUACCAAAAGGUAACUGGCGUUAUUCCAGGACAAAAACAGUGUAUUGCUUUGAAAGGGGUGUGCAGAGACAAACUAUGCAGCACACUAGAUGAUACCAUUGGUAUAUGUAAUGAAGGAAAAAAAUGUAGAAGGUGGUGGAUACUUGAGCCCUAUCCAACUCCGGUUCCCAAAGGAAAAUCUC
rnacentral:lncRNA from 1 species